GCGCCUCCGAGGCAGCGUGUUUCCGCCCAGAGCUGGAGUCUCCCAACUGCCAGCCGACCCCGAACCCGCACUCCCGCCAACCGCUCUUUUUGUGGGCGGUCGGAAACCACAGUCUGCGUUGGAUAUGUUCGGUGCAUGUUGUAAACAACCACUUAAACCCUCCGGAUCUGAGCCUCCCGCAGAGGAAUGCAGAAUGACGCCACGGCACGCAGGAUGUGAUGUCACUGAGAUGCACAGGAUACUCAAUCAACAUUUACUGAGCAUCUACUUCGUGCCAUAUGUACGAAGCUAGCAAAUAUGUACAGCACCAGUACUGAUUGCAAGGAGCACUGUAGAAGAAGAGUGACAGCCAAACAAUUAAAAGCGGAGGCGGGGAGAUUGACUCUUUUCGCCGACACCUUGUCUUUCAUCUGGCAACCUUACUCACCCCUCAACCAUUUGUUUGAGUUGUUUAGAGUUAUGGAUUUGG
rnacentral:sRNA from 1 species